rnacentral:lncRNA from 1 species
AUUCUUAUUCAAAUAAAUCCACAAAUCCAAACGUCAAAUACUAAAUAAUCUCUCUCGAGGACAUAUAAAAAUAAUAACAAAAGUCUCAAACUCCAAAUUACACGUUCAUAAAAAAGUAACUAAAUAGAAACACAAGUCUAUUCCUCCUCUUAUUCAAUCGCAAACGGAAACUGGAAAAAUUACUAACUCCAAAGCUAAGCGCACCUCUCAAAAGAAACUUAAUCUGCAAAAAGUAAUGACGAGGGGUGAGCCGUCAACUCGGUAAGUAAAACCAUUUCUAACAUACUAUGCUUAUCGAUACGAAGAUAUUGCAAGCCUUCUUUUGUUUAAAACAUAUAUCAUAAUCCAUAAAUUUUCAUAAAACGAUAUAUCACAUUAACAUAAGAUAAAUUCUUAAUAAUUCAGAAUAUUCAAAAGAAUAUUUACUUACGAAGCAAAUCAUGUAAUACGUAUACAGAAACAAAAAGGUUAGCUCAUGUCACAUAGUGUCACCUAUAGUCCCGGUGACCCGGCCAGAAACAGAAUCAGAAUAUCGUGUGCACACUCAGAACAUAAACCCAGUACUGGUCCAGACAGAUAUAUCAUAUAUUACGAUUAGAAUUAGAAUAACUAUGGACAAUGAGCCAAAACAUUAGGAAUCUCAUUCAAUCAUCAAUAAUUGAAAUCAAACAUGGGUAAAAACAUUCGUAUCAAAUUUAUAAAAGUUCAUAACAAUAAUUUAGGCUUGCAUAACAUUUAUAAAUAAAAUCAUAAAAGUAGGCAUGUAACAAAAUAACUUACAUAUUCAAAAGCAUUUAUAAAAUACUUUGUUAAAGAGAAUUUAGCUUUAAAACAUUUACAUAAAACUAAUUUUGUUAUCAAAAUCAAUUAAUCCUUUAAGCAGUAUAAAAACAUUUAUACUUAUAAUAAUAAUAUCAAAAUACUUAUACAUAUCCAGUAUGCUAGGAAUGAAGUUACUUACCUCGACAAAUGAACUUGAAUUAACCCACCUCUAAGCUUCUAAGAGCCUCAAUCACCUUCAACUCCUUAAACAAAUACAAGAUAUGACAAUUAAUGACUUAUUCUAAGAAUCUGAUUUUCUAAUUCAUACCUGUACAGGUCUGAUUCUCAGAAUUUUAACUCUUAAUCUAAAACUCAGAAUGAUAUAAUAUUCUAUGGAACUAUUCUGGACAUCCAUGAAUACCCCAUGUAAAAUUUACAAGAGGAUCCGAUAUCAAAAACAUUUUAAAAACUAUUUACUACUCAGCAAACUCGAAACUGUUUUCACAUAAUCUAAACCAAACAGAACGGGUUCCGUAAUUUUUAUAAAAUAAAAUACUAACCAGAAAAUUAUAAAAUUAAAACUGGGAAUCCUAGACACAUAUAUUAACCUACAUAUAAACUUUCAGAAUUUUCCGAGUUCAUUUGAUGGUACAAAUAGUCUUGUGAAUCCGAUCGCAAUGCUGGAAUCGCAGUUUUCCAGUGCGGUGGUUUCUGUUUCGAAAAUACAUAUAAAAUUCAAAACGAAAUCGAAUUCAAUGAAAUAAAAUUUAAUCAAGAAUCCCUACAUGUCUAGUUCCCAGAAAUAUAAAUUUUAUAAGAAAAUUCGUUCAGAAAAUAUAGCUUUAAAUUCGAGAUACUCAUGCUGUCCAGAAUUAUCCUGUGCUUAAUACGUCAAUGAUUGAUUAACUAAACUCAUAAUAAAUCAAAACCCUAAACAAGGCCUAAAUAUAUUAUAAACCAUGCAUUAUGAUCUACAACCAUUAGAAUCGUGCCAAUAUAAACUCUAGCUAGAUAGAGUGAUUAGAAAUCUGUUGAGAACAUGGAGAAUAACUUACCCGUCGCUUGAUUCUCUCCUAAACAAAGGUUUGAAUCCUAGGAUUUGGGUAAGAGCGUAAAGAGCAGCAGGGAAGAAGAAUAAACGUUGUGAAUUUAGGGUUAUGGGAGAGAAAAAGUAUGAAUUUAUAGGGAGUCUUAAGAAACCCUAUUUAGUUAGGAAAAAUAACCAUUUUCCCAAAAUUAUCUCAUAAAUAACCUCUUAAUAAGGGUUAUGGGCCACCCAUAAUUCUCAAUGAAAGCCCAAUUUCCAUAACUUAAUAUAUAUGAGAAUUUGUGUAAUUUCCUAUAUUACACAAUCCUGGCUCUGAUACCACAAUUGUAACACCCCAAAUCUAACACGUGUGGAGCACGUGAAGAAGGAGGUUACUCACAAAUCAAUGAUCUAUACUCAUAAGUUUCAAACUGAAAUACCUCCAAUUCUUAUUCAAAUAAAUCCACAAAUCCAAACGUCAAAUACUAAAUAAUCUCUCCUGAGGACAUAUAAAAAUAAUAACAAAAGUCUCAAACUCCAAAUUACACGUUCAUAAAAAAGUAACUAAAUAGAAACACAAGUCUAUUCCUCCUCUUAUUCAAUGGCAAAUGGAAACUGAAACUUAUUAGCUCCAAAGCCAAGCACACCUCUCAAAAGAAACUUAAUCUGCAAAAAGUAAUGACGAGGGGUGAGCCGUCAACUCAGUAAGUAAAGCCAUGCUUAACACACUAGGCCCAUCGAUACCAAAAAUAUUGCAAGCCUUCUUUUGUUUAAAACAUAUAUCAUAAUCCAUAAUUUUCAUGAAACGAUAUAUCACGAUAACAUAAGAUAAAUUCUUAAUAAUUCAGAAUAUUCAAAAGAAUAUUUACUUACGAAGCAAAUCAUGUAAUACGUAUACAGAAACAAAAAGGUUAGCUCAUGUCACAUAGUGUCACCUAUAGUCCCGGUGACCCGGCCAGAAACAGAAUCAGAAUAUCGUGUGCACACUCAGAACAUAAACCCAGUACUGGUCCAGACAGAUAUAUCGUAUAUUACGAUCAGAAUCAGAAUCAGAAUCAGAAUAACUAUGGACAAUGAGCCAAAACAUUAAGAAUCUCAUACAAUCAUCAAUAAUUGAAAUCAAACAUAGGUACAAAACAUUCGUAUCAGUUUCAUAAAAGUUCAUAUCAAUAAUUUAGGCUUGCAUAACACUUUAUAAAUAAAAUCAUAAAAGUAGGCAUGUAACAAAGUAACUCACAUAUUCAAAAGCAUUUAUAAAAUACUUUGUUAAAAAGAAUUUAGCUUUAAAACAUUUACAUAAAACUAAUUUUAUUAUCAAAAUCAAUUUACCCUUUAAGUAGUAUAAAAACAUUUAUACUUAUAAUAACAAUAUCAAAAUACUUAUACAUAUCCAGUAUGCUAGGAAUGAAGUUACUUACCUCGAGAAAUGAACUUGAAUUAACACACCUCUAAGCUUCUAAGAGCCUCAAUCACCUUCAACUCCCGUCGCUUGAUUCUCUCCUAAACAAAGGUUUGAAUCCUAGGAUUUGGGUAAGAGCGUAAAGAGCAGCAGGGAAGAAGAAUAAACGUUGUGAAUUUAGGGUUAUG